rnacentral:rRNA from 1 species
GACGAACGCUGGCGGCGUGCUUAACACAUGCAAGUCGAACGGAAAGGCCCUGCUUUUGUGGGCUGCUCGAGUGGCGAACGGGGGAGUAACACGUGAGUAACCUGUCCUUCACUUUGGGAUAACUUCAGGAAACUGGGUCUAAUACCGGAUAGGAGCUCUUGCUGCAUGGUGGGGGUUGGUAAGUUUCGGCGGUUGGGGAUGGACUCGCGGCUUAUCAGCUUGUUGGUGGGGUAGUGGCUGACCAAGGCUUUGACGGGUAGCCGGGCUGAGCGGGUGACCGGACACGUUGGGACUGAGAUACGGCACAGACUCCUACGGGAGGCAGCAGUGGGGAAUAUUGCACUAUGGGCGGAGGGCUGACGUAGCAACGCCGCGUGCGGGAUGACGGCCAUGGGGUUGUAAACCGAUUUCGCCUGUGACGAAGCGUGAGUGACGGUAAUGGGUAAAGAAGCACCGGCUAACUACGUG